UGCAGGCUGCAACUCGCCUGUAUGAAGUCGGAAUUGCUAGUAAUCGCGGAUCAGCAUGCCGCGGUGAAUACGUUCCCGGGCCUUGUACACACCGCCCGUCACACCAUGAGAGCCGGGAACACCCGAAGUCCGUAGUCUAACCGCAAGGAGGACGCGGCCGAAGGUGGGUUUGGUAAUUGGGGUGAAGUCGUAACAAGGUAGC
rnacentral:rRNA from 1 species